rnacentral:misc_RNA from 1 species
GAAAUGCGAUAAGUAAUGUGAAUUGCAGAAUUCAGUGAAUCAGCGAAUCUUUGAACGCACCUUGCGCUCCUUGGUAUUCCUUGGAGCAUGCCUGUUUGAGUAUCAUGAAAUCUUCAAAGUAAAUCUUUUGUUAACUCAAUUGGUUUCUACUUUGGUAUUGGAGGUCUUUGCAGCUUCACACCUGCUCCUCUUUGUUCAUUAGCUGGAUCUCAGUGUUAUGCUUGGUUCCACUCGGCGUGAUAAGUUAUCUAUCGCUGAGGACACUGUAAAAGGUGGCCAAGGUAAAUGCAGAUGAACCGCUUCUAAUAGUCCAUUGACUUGGACAAUACUUUUAUGAUCUGAUCUCAAAUCAGGUAGGACUACCCGCUGAACUUAAGC